rnacentral:rRNA from 1 species
CCCUGCCCUUUGUACACACCACCCAUCACUCCUACCGAUUGAAUGGUCCAGUGGAGUGCUCGGAUCGCUGCUAUAUUAGGUGGUUCGCUACUCAUGAUGCUGUGAGAAGUCCAUUUAGGAAGGAGAAGUCGUAACAAGAUUUCCAUAGGUGAACCUGCAGAAGGAUCAUUA